CAGUUAUGCUGUAGACUCAGUACUGAACUGAGGUGUCUUUCUAAUGCAAAAGGGGAAGCCUCCCUUCAUAAAAUACGGGAAAGGAAAAAAAGUUGAGGCAGAAGCUUGGAACCAAGAAAAGACAGGUUGAGAACACAGUCGAGCCCAUCAUAAGCCCCGUGUGUGGAGGUUCAGAUGUGGGGUAUCAUGUACAAUACUCCAGGGGAGAGAGUUGGAGACCCAUGUACAUGCAAAGACGUGAAGGACCCUGAGCCCAGAAGGAAUAGUUAGAGAUGACGGAUGAAGAUAAGGGCAUGCAUUUCAUCACUGAGAAAUCACGUCCUAAUUCUCUACAUGUUAAGGCUCUUUACUUUGAAUGUAAGCUCUGCAGGGAAUAUACUGUCUUUUUCUUUAGACGUUUAUACAGCACCUACCACAAUGAGACCACAGUCUUUGAUAGAGGUGCCUAAAUGGUACCAAAAUACAAGAGAUUAUUAUCUAAUCAAAAGAGGUCUUGACCUAGCCAGACAACUUGAGCAGUCCAAUUGAAUUCACUGUGUCUUUUCACAUUCAUGUAUAAAUAUUUUCAGAAUUAGGGACCCAAUCAGUAGCAGAGUUGGUAUUAGCAUUCAAGAGUUUUAUUAACUUUCAGUCCACUUGAUGAACUAUACCGCACUGCUUUAGAUACUGCGUUUUGAAAGAAAAAAACUAGUCUGUCUCUUUCUAAGAAGAGUAAAGAGUCUUUAAUAGGUUUGUUAUACUUCUCAACGUAAAUUUGGAACCUUAUUGGUUCAUAAUUUGGACUAGGCCCUUUAAAUGGCUUUUCAAUUCAGUAUUAAACGGUGAAGACAAUAAGACUUUAAAGGUCAUUGAAAUGGCUUUUCACGAGGCUUAUUCACUAGGGGGAACGUAAAUAUUAUACCCAUUUUAUAGCUAGAUAAAGUGAUAUAGGAAUUCCCUUGUGUAAGUGCUGGAGACAGAUGCCAGGAGUUUGUCUGAAGGGCCUUUUGAAAACAAUGAAUUACUUGUGUCUGGCCAGAUUGACUCUAGGGGUAUAUUUGUGCUUCAAGAGGAAUGGUGUCAGAGCCUGGGAUCCAACCUGAUCCUGAACAGCUACACUGCAAUUUUAUAGUCUGGCAGCUAAGCCCUUUAAGCCCAAGUCAGCUGACCCAGGCCAGCCACAGGGUAUGUCUCCACUGCAAUAAGACCUAUGUGACUGUGUGUAGGUGACAACUUCUCCAUGCUUUGUUUGACUAAAUUCUAAAAUGUCUGUAGCAAUAGUUGGAUCACAAAAAGGCAGAUUUCCAGUUCCCUGAUCUAACAACAAAACAUACUGCCCCGCAUGCUUCCUAAGUCAUGCUGAAAGAGCCUAAUGUCCCUUUUGACAAAAGCAUGUUACUAGUGUGAUGUGCUCUGAUUUCUGGGAGUAAGCGUGUAGAAAGAAAUGUCUCGUUCUAUGGCUUUUGAAAAGUGUUGUGCGAAAAAGAAAAUCACAUU